rnacentral:lncRNA from 1 species
GGCGGCUCACUCAGGACCCAGCGGGGGCAGCGCGAUGAGGCGGGUGACCCUGUUCCUGAACGGCAGCCCCAAGAACGGAAAGUGUAAGAGACUUAAAUGAAUAUGACUGUCACACAAAAAAGGUGUGUCCUACUUCAACACUCAACAUUCAAGAAAUAUUUGUCAAAGACCUGCUGUAAGCCAGAUUAAAAUUUAAAUAGACUCAUGAAGCUAGUGGCUUCCACACUGGACAGCACAGCUUUAAAACAUGGCAGGUGGCCUUUAUUUUCAUCGGAAGACAAUAGACCCACAGAAAAACCAAGUCAAUCAUAUGGAAGUAGACGACAAUUCAAGUGGUUGCUGUAUAUGGAACUUUAUCUGAUUUGCUUUCUGUGGCCAGCAGUAAACUCGGCAUAAAAGCCACCAGUGUGUAUAAUGGGAAAGGUGGACUGAU